GACGAACGCUAGCGACAGGCCUAACACAUGCAAGUCGAGGGGCAGCACAUGAGUAGCAAUACGAUGGUGGCGACCGGCGCACGGGUGAGUAACACGUAUGCAACCUGCCUUCUACUAUGGGAUAACCCGUUGAAAGGCGGACUAAUACCGUAUAAUACAGGGGCUCCGCAUGGAGAUAUUUGUUAAAGAUUUAUUGGUAGAAGAUGGGCAUGCGUAUGAUUAGAUAGUUGGUGAGGUAACGGCUCACCAAGUCAACGAUCAUUAGGGGUUCUGAGAGGAAGGUCCCCCACACUGGUACUGAGACACGGACCAGACUCCUACGGGAGGCAGCAGUGAGGAAUAUUGGUCAAUGGACGAGAGUCUGAACCAGCCAAGUCGCGUGAAGGAAGGCGGUUCUAUGAAUUGUAAACUUCUUUUGUGCAGGAAUAAAGUGGGUUACGUGUAACCUUUUGUAUGUACUGUACGAAUAAGGAUCGGCUAACUCCGUGCCAGCCGCCGCAGUAAUAC
rnacentral:rRNA from 1 species